UACAGUGACCGCCCACCCGCACCUGCUGAACAGCAAGGUCCACGGAGUAGGAACUGCACGUGUCAGGGACUAUGUGUGGCACUGUAUGGCAAGUCUCCAAGACUGGGAAGCACCGCUUUACGUAGUCCUCAUGGAUUCCAGAGCAUGAGUUGGGCUGCUUUUGAAUAGUGGGAGACGGGAGUUUACCCCGAUCACAGAAACCAUACCAACUGAAAGACAAAUCAGCAUCUUGCUGGACGACCCCUCACAGAGCUCCUAGAUCCUUGAAGUGUGAACUUCAGCAGCUGAGAGGUAACAAUUGUACACAAAUCCCACUAUCAUGCUCCAACGAAUGAUGUGGCCCUUAUGAAACAAGAUGUUAGAAUGAAUUCUUUAUAGUCUCAGCGCAAAAAAGAUUCAAGUACUGUUUAAGGUUUUGUUUGGUACUACUUUCUUCUCUUCAAACAGUAUUUCCUGAGGUUAACUUUCUUGGAAGAAGUGGAAUUAAUGGAGUUCUCACAUUGAGCCCUUCAAUUUAUCAUCACUGAAUUCUUGAGUUAUGCUCAAAUGAGUAAUACAAUUUGUGUUUAGAAAACACAAAGUGGAAAAUUUAGAGACAUUUAGAUUAUGUUUCUAUGUUCAUUUCAAAUGCCUUGGGAGCAUUUACUUCUUAAACAUUUAGUGAGGAAUAAACCAAAUAUAAUCAGCGCCCUCCUUUAUUUCCCCAGCAAUCUGGGAUAGAUCAUACUCACAAUGUAUUUCCCAAGUAUCCUUUGUUACUAAAAGGCAGUCUGUUCCCCGUAAGUACUCUCUGAGAACGGCCAUCCCAGGUAUCCUUGAAAAGCAAAUGAGAGCUGAGCAUGGCAAACACACGAGGUCCAGCUGUGUACAAAUCAUCAGUAGAUGGCACACACAUGCAUGUAUGUGCCUAACAUGAAACCAGAUGUCCUUUCUCAGAUGACAGAUGUCAAGGCUGCAGUUUUCUUCUCUUGCCUCUUACUUUGCUGAAUAUAAACUAAGAUGAGAUUUCUAUUUAAUACUUACAAUCACCUUGCUUUUCUUUUAAGAUACUUCUAGAAAGGGGUAGGGAUUGAUUAUAGGAGGACUUUCAGUUAGGGAAGUAGAAGACUAAGUGCUUUGAAAAGCUUUAUGAAUAAGACUACGAGAAAAGCUGUAGGUCUGCAAACACCCAAUAGAAAACUGUUUAAAAAAGAAACAGGCCAGGCGCAGUGGCUCAUGCCUGUAGUCCCAGCACUUUGAGAGGCUGAGGCAGGCAGAUCACUUGAGGCCAGGAGAUCAAGACCAGCCUGGCCAACAUGGCAAAACCCCGUCUCUACUAAAAAUACAAAAAUUAGCUGGGCAUGGUGGCGCAUGUCCAUAAUCCCAGCUACUUGGGAGGCUGAGGUACAAGAAUUGCUUGAACCCGGGAGAUGGAGGUUGCAGUGAGCCGAGAUGGCACCACUGCACUCCAGCCUGGGCGAUAGAGUGAGACCCCGCCCCCCCCCCCCCCCCAAAAAAAAAGAGAAACAGAUGGCACAAACUCUGGAAUAAAAAAAAAGUGCUUGUAAAAGACUGCAACAUGACUGCGGUUGAAAAAUAAACACAUAGGUCUUUGAAAGUAUUGCCCUACAGACACAUUCAUGUUAAACUGCUUCAGUAUCAUCGAACCAUCACUCUGCUAUUUCUCUGCACACCCACCUGCACAGUUAUAAAGAGGAGGAAAGCACAGUGAUACUCCUUGAUGUCUGAAAGCAAGUUUUUAAGGAUGUGGAAAGAACAAACUAAAAACGUAAAACAAAACACCCAAUCCUCAGAACUACCACCCCUAACUUUCAUGUUUCUGGGAGGAAGUGAAUUAAUAAAUGUUUUGUGGGUAGAAAGCAAAAAAAUCAUCACAUAAUUCAGCAAAAUAAUGAAGGCCCAACUGUAUGACCCCUUCACUUUAUAAGCACGUUUUAAGGCCAACUUUAGAGAAAAUGGUAAUAUAAAUUAAUUUUAGCAAGUAUAAAUUACAAUGACCAUCUAGAUAUUCAAACACCAAAACAGAACAAAAUUUACAUAAGUAAAAACUCUUCUAAAGUAAACCAAUGUACAAUAUCAGAACUCAAAAUUCAUUAGAAGGUUCACUGUAUGUUUUAAUCAGGCUCAGACUGAAAUAAAAGUAGUCAAUUGAAACCCCAACCUGGAAAGCCAUCCCUGUUAUGGCUGUGAUUUCAUCAUUUCGGCAUCCCAAAACAUUCACUUAGAGCAACAUCCAUGUAAACAGUUCGACAUAGGUCCCCUGCUGUGGAUCUGUGGCUGGUAACAGCCUGGGAGCAGCAGACAGACAGGGGACACUUAAACCUCAGAAAGCAAUAGCAGCCUCUGACACCUUGCUCAAGGCUUCCCAUCCGGUGGCUCAGUGAGACUUUGGGAGGUGGAAGUGGUGAAAGUGGAAAGCCAUGAAGACAUAGCUGUCUUUGCACUGGAAAAAGCUCCUCCAACUGACUGGCCUGGAUGGAGAGGAGAAAAACAAAAGGAAAAAUGUCUUAACUUUUGUUACGAGACAGUGAAAGACCAACAUAAUUAAUACAUUUUUAAUUAAAAAUUUAAAAAAAUGUUUUUUGAGACAGUGUCUUACUCUGUCGCCCAGGCUGGAGUGCAGUGGAGUGGUCACGGUUCCCUGCAGCCUUGACAUCCUGGGCUCAAGUGAUCCUCCCACACAGCUUCCCAAGUGGCUAGGACCACAGGCAUGUGUGACCACACCUGGGUAAUUUUUUGAUUUUUUGUAGAGACAGG
rnacentral:lncRNA from 1 species